rnacentral:hammerhead_ribozyme from 1 species
ACACUGCUGAGGAGUCCCAAAAUAGGACGAGACGGCCGUCCAGUGC